rnacentral:lncRNA from 1 species
AAUACUUAUGCAGAAGUAGUAGAGUUUUCUUGACGUCAACGACUACGAAGUCGUUUAGAUGAAGGGCCUGAAACAAAAAGGCAAAGUCAUCGUUAGAGUACAUUUAAAAGCCCCCAGACCAGAGGUUAACUAUAUGCAUUAGCAAUUCUGUCAAGCCUACUUAGCACAUGUCUACUUGGCAAGAUCUCAUCUUUAAUUCCUAAAAACAAAAGCCAAAGGCACCUUGGUUCUAUUCCCGACUACAAGUGCAGAAUUUUCAAGAGAAUGUUUUUGACCGACUUGUAUGUUUAGCAAGAUUUGAGGAGCCCAUUAUUUACGAAGUUGAUGCCACCUAGGUCGCGACUGGCCCCCCACCUCGAGAUGGACAAAAUACGGUAAAUUGAGAUGCUGAUCGUUUGGCAAUGCGGGAACCCGUCAAAUCUUGAUUGUAAAACAGAUUCACUGCUUCCCGCCCUCACCGCAUCGACACCAAAUGUAUUAUAAAUUACUCAAGGACUAGAGUUCAUCUACGUCGUAAUAAAAAAGGAAAAGAAAAACUGUUAGUUUUGACCCUUAGCGAUGACAAGUUAAAGAAUUAAUUCUUUACCGAAAGAAAAAAAAUUACAUCACGUAGAAUUUUAUUAAUUCAACGCUGUACUUUUUUUUAAGGAGUUUCUUUUUUCACACCAUGAAUUAAUUUUUUUUGCGCAACAUUCGUUAGUUAUAGGAAAGGUUCUAGCAAGGUUAAAUUUUGAAAUCACAUAUCCUAUAAUUUAAAAACUAUUUAAAACUACUUAAUGGCUUGUGCACUAGUCUUCUUUCUCGCCACUCAAUUAUGCUCCACACUCGUAAAAUCUAAAUGGUUUGCGGAAUGUUUUCAUUUUAGUGUACGAUACUAUCGUAUUGAAUAAACUAAGGUAAGAUUUGUAUGCAUAGAGGGAAGUCAGGGUUAAAAAUACGAUCGCUUUGCUUAAUCGAGGGGAAAAUAUUGAUAGUAGUUAGGUGAAAAAAGAAGUCGGCAAUUUGGUCUGAAGUGGUAAAUAAAAAAUAAAAGUAGUUGCUGAAAUCUAAAGGGCAUAAAUCACUAUAGAACAUGAUUUUAUUGUUCGUGUUGAAANUGAUGGCCUUGUUCAAGCUAUUAUCAAGUCGCUUUAUAUUCAAUCCCUUAAAUUGUAUCUAAAGAAAGCGCUUUUGUCUGAAGCUAGAAUGGAUAUGUCUUCGAAAGAUAGAAAUCUUCAGUAGCCGAUAGCGCAGGGAAUCAAGCAGUCCAUUUUAUUACGCUACGAAAUGAAUCCUCCAUAUCUGCGCUAAUUUAAUUCUCUCCAAAUCCCUCGGGCAAGAAAACCUAGAACAAAUUAACCUGGCGAUAAUGUUUUAUUUCUUUUGUCCAAGUCAAAAGGUAAGGGUCUGAUCAUAUAAAUGAGUAUAGUAGUGGCAAACUGUCCUGUUUACAGCCGUGCACUUUUCUCAUCCAUUAACUUCUCCUUGACUGGUUUUAACACGCUUCUAAUUACACUAAAAACCGCGAUCAGGUUGGUAAAAAGUGCUAUCUUUGCUUACGCAGCUAAACAAAUUGUACCCAUAUAUACAGGUUCGGAGUGCAUCAAAUAAUUUGGAUUAAUUAGGAUGGUGCUGUAGCUCCUUUUUAUUCUUAAUUCGGAAAGAUUACGUUUCAUUUUCGUUUUAUAAUUCACCGUCAUUUUCCGGCCAUGACUCUUUUAGAAGCUUGUUCAACAUAAACUACACCAUUGAUUCUGGAAUUUACUUCAAUAAAAACUACACUAAC